AGAGUUUGAUCCUGGCUCAGGACGAACGCUGGCGGCACGCUUAACACAUGCAAGUCGAACGAGAGAAGAGGAGCUUGCUUUUCUGAUCUAGUGGCGGACGGGUGAGUAACACGUGAGCAAUCUGCCUUUCAGAGGGGGAUACCGAUUGGAAACGAUCGUUAAUACCGCAUAACAUAAUUGAACCGCAUGAUUUGAUUAUCAAAGAUUUAUCGCUGAAAGAUGAGCUCGCGUCUGAUUAGCUAGUUGGUAAGGUAACGGCUUACCAAGGCGACGAUCAGUAGCCGGACUGAGAGGUUGAUCGGCCACAUUGGGACUGAGACACGGCCCAGACUCCUACGGGAGGCAGCAGUGGGGAAUAUUGCACAAUGGAGGAAACUCUGAUGCAGCGAUGCCGCGUGAGGGAAGAAGGUUUUAGGAUUGUAAACCUCUGUCUUCAGGGACGAAAAAAGACGGUACCUGAGGAGGAAGCUCCGGCUAACUACGUGCCAGCAGCCGCGGUAAUACGUAGGGAGCGAGCGUUGUCCGGAAUUACUGGGUGUAGAGGGAGCGUAGGCGGGAUCGCAAGUCAGAUGUGAAAACUAUGGGCUUAACCCAUAAACUGCAUUUGAAACUGUGGUUCUUGAGUGAAGUAGAGGUAAGCGGAAUUCCUAGUGUAGCGGUGAAAUGCGUAGAUAUUAGGAGGAACAUCAGUGGCGAAGGCGGCUUACUGGGCUUUAACUGACGCUGAGGCUCGAAAGCGUGGGGAGCAAACAGGAUUAGAUACCCUGGUAGUCCACGCCGUAAACGAUGAUACUAGGUGUGGGGGGACUGACCCCUUCCGUGCCGCAGCAAACGCAAUAAGUAAUCCACCUGGGGAGUACGACCGCAAGGUUGAAACUCAAAGGAAUUGACGGGGGCCCGCACAAGCAGUGGAGUAUGUGGAUUAAUUCGAAGCAACGCGAAGAACCUUACCAGGUCUUGACAUCGUAUGCAUAGCUCAGAGAUGAGUGAAAUCUCUUCGGAGACAUAUAGACAGGUGGUGCAUGGUUGUCGUCAGCUCGUGUCGUGAGAUGUUGGGUUAAGUCCCGCAACGAGCGCAACCCUUACUGUUAGUUGCUACGCAAGAGCACUCUAGCAGGACUGCCGUUGACAAAACGGAGGAAGGUGGGGAUGACGUCAAAUCAUCAUGCCCCUUAUGACCUGGGCCUCACACGUACUACAAUGGCUGUCAACAGAGGGAAGCAAAGCCGCGAGGUGGAGCGAACCCCUAAAAGCAGUCUUAGUUCGGAUUGUAGGCUGCAACCCGCCUACAUGAAGUCGGAAUUGCUAGUAAUCGCAGAUCAGCAUGCUGCGGUGAAUACGUUCCCGGGCCUUGUACACACCGCCCGUCACGCCAUGGGAGUCGGUAACACCCGAAGCCUGUAGUCUAACCGCAAGGAGGACGCAGUCGAAGGUGGGAUUGAUGACUGGGGUGAAGUCGUAACAAGGUA
rnacentral:rRNA from 1 species